rnacentral:rRNA from 1 species
CCUACGGGUGGCAGCAGUGAGGAAUAUUGGUCAAUGGCCGGAAGGCUGAACCAGCCAAGCCGCGUGAAGGACGAAGGUGCCAAGCAUUGUAAACUUCUUUUGUCAAGGGACAAAAUCAGGCUCGAGGGCCUGACCGAGGGUACUUGAAGAAAAAGCAUCGGCUAACUCCGUGCCAGCAGCCGCGGUAAUACGGAGGAUGCGAGCGUUAUCCGGAUUUAUUGGGUUUAACGGGUGCGUAGGCGGACUGUUAAGUCAGCGGGAAAAGCCCGGGGCUCAACCCCGGCGAGCCGUUGAAAAUGGCUGUCUUGAGAUGUCGAGAGGUAUGCGGAAUGCGCAGUGUAGCGGUGAAAUGCUUAGAUAUUGCGCAGAACUCCGAUUGCGAAGGCAGCAUACCGGCGGCGAUCUGACGCUGAGGCACGAAAGCGUGGGUAUCGAACAGGAUUAGAUACCCUAGUAGUC